UAAGGUAAUAUUGGUCAAUGGACGCAAGUCUGAACCAGCCAUGCCGCGUGAAGGGAUUAAGGUCCUCUGGAUUGUAAACUUCUUUUAUAUGGGACGAAAAAAGGUCUUUCUAGACCCCUUGACGGUACCAUAUGAAUAAGCACCGGCUAACUCCGUG
rnacentral:rRNA from 1 species